rnacentral:tRNA from 1 species
GCGGGGGUCGCCGAGCCAGGUCAAAGGCGCAGGCUUCAGGAGCCUGUCCCGUAGGGGUUCGUGGGUUCGAAUCCCACCCCCCGCA